GUGUCAGCCGCCGCGGUAAUACGGAGGAUGCAAGCGUUAUCCGGAUUUAUUGGGUUUAAAGGGUGCGUAGGCGGAACUAUAAGUCAGUGGUGAAAUCCUGCAGCUUAACUGUAGACUUGCCAUUGAUACUGUAGUUCUUGAGUGUGGUCAAGGGAGGCGGAAUGUGUAAUGUAGCGGUGAAAUGCUUAGAUAUUACACAGAACACCGAUUGCGAAGGCAGCUUUCUGGGCCAUUACUGACGCUGAUGCACGAAAGCGUGGGGAUCGAACAGGAUUAGAUACCCUGGUAGUCCACGCCGUAAACGAUGAUCACUAGCUGUUGGCGAUAUACAGUCAGCGGCAAAGCAAAAGCAUUAAGUGAUCCACCUGGGGAGUACGGCCGCAAGGCUGAAACUUAAAUGAAUUGACGGGG
rnacentral:rRNA from 1 species